AAUGGAAACAUUACAUUUGGUAUUGCUCUUUAUGUCAAUGUACGCAUUACAUCAGCUGAGACUGGAAUAGACUCAUCCAUUAAUAGUAAUUAUGUACCACCUGAUCCUUCUUUCUUUCCAUUCGGUGCUACUGUCACCAAAGCUCCUAGCAUGAUGCUUAAUAGCAACAUACCAGGGACGUAUAUAUUUUCUCUGAAUCAUAUACCACCAAAUCCUUGUACUGAGCCUAGCCAGCCUGACUGCUCUGCUCUAUGUAAAGCUAAACUUCUUAAGAUGGCAUGUGAGGCUUUGAGACUUAAUGGUGAUUCAGAAGAUCUACCAGCUCCUUGUAAUAACUGAGCACAUUCAAUUUUCUAUUUUUUGUUUUAGUUGACUAAUCAGUAUUGUUUUUAUAUUAGAGUUAAAGUCAAUUUUGUUUUAUCAGUAGAAAUAGCUAGUUAUUUUGUCAAGGACAUUAAUUUUAUUAUUAUUUUGACAUGUAAAAUGUCAGAAAGAA